rnacentral:rRNA from 1 species
ACGGAGGAUCCUAGCGUUAUCCGGAUUUAUUGGGUUUAAAGGGUGCGUAGGCGGGUUUUUAAGUCCGUGGUGAAAGCUCGCAGCUCAACAACAACAUUGCCAUUGAAACUGAAGACCUUGAGUGUAAAUGAGGUAGGCGGAAUGUGUUGUGUAGCGGUGAAAUGCUUAGAUAUGACACAGAACACCGAUUGCGAAGGCAGCUUACUAAGAUACAACUGACGCUGAGGCACGAAAGCGUGGGGAUCGAACAG